UACGUUUGCAUGGAGGCUUGGGGAAAGAUGUGGCGUCGCCGUAGUAGCCGGGAAGGCAGCGUUCGCAGGCCGUUCCCGUCGUGAAGUACACGCACUUCAAACACUCGCCAGUGAUUCUGCGGGGAGGAACAUGUACAGAUGCAGCGCUGGCAGGGGCGUGGCUGUCCGUACUGACCGAUGGGGUCGCCAUAGUAACCGUCCAUACAUCUCUCACAACGAUCACCUGCAGACAAGGAUGUUUUACAGGCACACUGGUCCCAGAGGAACCCAACUUUGGUGAAUCAUCACAAAUCCAACAUGGAGGUGGCAAAGGGAAGGGACUUGAACUUCUUCCUACAAACAGGGAGAGCGUGAUGUUGACCUCGUUGGGAUACUGAACUCCUUGCAGCAUGGUUUCCGACUGCCACCAGGUCGUGUUGUCGUCGUUGUUGAAGUCGGUGAGGUAUCUGGGAGGAUGGGUGAGGCGCGG